GAAGAUUUGGAAGCGAAGGGCAAAGAAAUUACUGCUCUAGAAACACAAAUCAAGGACCUCCAGCAGAAAUUGCUCCUGGCUGAAGCUAAGCCCGUAGAGAAGGCUGAUGGAGGCAGCAGCAUGGCGGAGCCGAAGGAGGGAGUAGAAAUCAAAUCCCGAGACAUUGGAUUAACCUUUUCAACUCCAA